UACGUAGGGGGGCAAGCGUUUGUCCGGAAUCAUUGGGCGUAAAGCGCGUGUAGGCGGCUUCGUAAGUCCGUUGUGAAAGUCCAGGGCUCAACCCUGGAAUGCCGAUGGAUACUGCGGAGCUAGAGUCCGGAAGAGGCGAGUGGAAUUCCUGGUGUAGCGGUGAAAUGCGCAGAUAUCAGGAGGAACACCAAUGGCGAAGGCAGCUCGCUGGGACGGUACUGACGCUGAGACGCGAAAGCGUGGGGGAGCAAACAGG
rnacentral:rRNA from 1 species